rnacentral:rRNA from 1 species
GGAAAGGCGCGCGAUACAGGGUGACAGCCCCGUACACAAAAAUGCACAUGCUGUGAGCUCGAUGAGUAGGGCGGGACACGUGGUAUCCUGUCUGAAUAUGGGGGGACCAUCCUCCAAGGCUAAAUACUCCUGACUGACCGAUAGUGAACCAGUACCGUGAGGGAAAGGCGAAAAGAACCCCGGCGAGGGGAGUGAAAAAGAACCUGAAACCGUGUACGUACAAGCAGUGGGAGCACGCUUAGGCGUGUGACUGCGUACCUUUUGUAUAAUGGGUCAGCGACUUAUAUUCUGUAGCAAGGUUAACCGAAUAGGGGAGCCGAAGGGAAACCGAGUCUUAACUGGGCGUUAAGUUGCAGGGUAUAGACCCGAAACCCGGUGAUCUAGCCAUGGGCAGGUUGAAGGUUGGGUAACACUAACUGGAGGACCGAACCGACUAAUGUUGAAAAAUUAGCGGAUGACUUGUGGCUGGGGGUGAAAGGCCAAUCAAACCGGGAGAUAGCUGGUUCUCCCCGAAAGCUAUUUAGGUAGCGCCUCGUGAAUUCAUCUCCGGGGGUAGAGCACUGUUUCGGCAAGGGGGUCAUCCCGACUUACCAACCCGAUGCAAACUGCGAAUACCGGAGAAUGUUAUCACGGGAGACACACGGCGGGUGCUAACGUCCGUCGUGAAGAGGGAAACAACCCAGACCGCCAGCUAAGGUCCCAAAGUCAUGGUUAAGUGGGAAACGAUGUGGGAAGGCCCAGACAGCCAGGAUGUUGGCUUAGAAGCAGCCAUCAUUUAAAGAAAGCGUAAUAGCUCACUGGUCGAGUCGGCCUGCGCGGAAGAUGUAACGGGGCUAAACCAUGCACCGAAGCUGCGGCAGCGACGCUGAUGCGUUGUUGGGUAGGGGAGCGUUCUGUAAGCCUGCGAAGGUGUGCUGUGAGGCAUGCUGGAGGUAUCAGAAGUGCGAAUGCUGACAUAAGUAACGAUAAAGCGGGUGAAAAGCCCGCUCGCCGGAAGACCAAGGGUUCCUGUCCAACGUUAAUCGGGGCAGGGUGAGUCGACCCCUAAGGCGAGGCCGA